UCCCUGGUGGCUCAGACGGUUAAGCGUCUGUCUAUAAUGUGGGAGACCCGGGUUCAAUCCCCGGGUAGGGAA
rnacentral:tRNA from 1 species